rnacentral:rRNA from 1 species
UUUUAGAUUUUUUUAUCUGCUCAGGACGAACGCUGGCGGCGUGCCUAAUACAUGCAAGUCGAACGAACUCUGGUAUUGAUUGGUGCUUGCAUCAUGAUUUACAUUUGAGUGAGUGGCGAACUGGUGAGUAACACGUGGGAAACCUGCCCAGAAGCGGGGGAUAACACCUGGAAACAGAUGCUAAUACCGCAUAACAACUUGGACCGCAUGGUCCGAGUUUGAAAGAUGGCUUCGGCUAUCACUUUUGGAUGGUCCCGCGGCGUAUUAGCUAGAUGGUGGGGUAACGGCUCACCAUGGCAAUGAUACGUAGCCGACCUGAGAGGGUAAUCGGCCACAUUGGGACUGAGACACGGCCCAAACUCCUACGGGAGGCAGCAGUAGGGAAUCUUCCACAAUGGACGAAAGUCUGAUGGAGCAACGCCGCGUGAGUGAAGAAGGGUUUCGGCUCGUAAAACUCUGUUGUUAAAGAAGAACAUAUCUGAGAGUAACUGUUCAGGUAUUGACGGUAUUUAACCAGAAAGCCACGGCUAACUACGUGCCAGCAGCCGCGGUAAUACGUAGGUGGCAAGCGUUGUCCGGAUUUAUUGGGCGUAAAGCGAGCGCAGGCGGUUUUUUAAGUCUGAUGUGAAAGCCUUCGGCUCAACCGAAGAAGUGCAUCGGAAACUGGGAAACUUGAGUGCAGAAGAGGACAGUGGAACUCCAUGUGUAGCGGUGAAAUGCGUAGAUAUAUGGAAGAACACCAGUGGCGAAGGCGGCUGUCUGGUCUGUAACUGACGCUGAGGCUCGAAAGUAUGGGUAGCAAACAGGAUUAGAUACCCUGGUAGUCCAUACCGUAAACGAUGAAUGCUAAGUGUUGGAGGGUUUCCGCCCUUCAGUGCUGCAGCUAACGCAUUAAGCAUUCCGCCUGGGGAGUACGGCCGCAAGGCUGAAACUCAAAGGAAUUGACGGGGGCCCGCACAAGCGGUGGAGCAUGUGGUUUAAUUCGAAGCUACGCGAAGAACCUUACCAGGUCUUGACAUACUAUGCAAAUCUAAGAGAUUAGACGUUCCCUUCGGGGACAUGGAUACAGGUGGUGCAUGGUUGUCGUCAGCUCGUGUCGUGAGAUGUUGGGUUAAGUCCCGCAACGAGCGCAACCCUUAUUAUCAGUUGCCAGCAUUAAGUUGGGCACUCUGGUGAGACUGCCGGUGACAAACCGGAGGAAGGUGGGGAUGACGUCAAAUCAUCAUGCCCCUUAUGACCUGGGCUACACACGUGCUACAAUGGAUGGUACAACGAGUUGCGAACUCGCGAGAGUAAGCUAAUCUCUUAAAGCCAUUCUCAGUUCGGAUUGUAGGCUGCAACUCGCCUACAUGAAGUCGGAAUCGCUAGUAAUCGCGGAUCAGCAUGCCGCGGUGAAUACGUUCCCGGGCCUUGUACACACCGCCCGUCACACCAUGAGAGUUUGUAACACCCAAAGUCGGUGGGGUAACCUUUUAGGAACCAGCCGCCUAAGGUGGGACAGAUGAUUAGGGUGAAGUCGUACAAGGGGAACCAAAACCCACUCGGAGCAUGCGAAAGACGUUGGGAGGAGGAUAUGGGGAUCGGGGGCCAAGC